rnacentral:tRNA from 1 species
GGUCUGAUGGCCGAGUGGCUAGGCAAAGGUCUGCAAAACCUUAUACAGCGGUUCGAGUCCGCUUCAGACCUCAA